GAUGAACGCUGGCGGCGUGCCUAAUACAUGCAAGUCGAGCGAACAGACGAGGAGCUUGCUCCUCUGACGUUAGCGGCGGACGGGUGAGUAACACGUGGAUAACCUACCUAUAAGACUGGGAUAACUUCGGGAAACCGGAGCUAAUACCGGAUAACAUGUUGAACCGCAUGGUUCAACAGUGAAAUACGGUCUUGCUGUCACUUAUAGAUGGCUCCGCGCCGCAUUAGCUACUUGGUAAGGUAACGGCUUACCAAGGCAACGAUGCGUAGCCGACCUGAGAGGGUGAUCGGCCACCCUGGAACUGAGACACGGUCCAGACUCCUACGGGAGGCCGCAGUAGGGAAUCUUCCGCAAUGGGCGAGAGCCGGACGGAGCAACGCCGCGUGAGUGAAGAAGGUCUUCGGAUCGUAAAACUCUGUUAUUAGGGAAGAACAAAUGUGUAAGUAACUAUGCACGUCUUGACGGUACCUAAUCAGAAAGCCACGGCUAACUACGUG
rnacentral:rRNA from 1 species